rnacentral:rRNA from 1 species
UGGGGAAUUUUGGACAAUGGGGGAAACCCUGAUCCAGCCAUCCCGCGUGUGCGAUGAAGGCCUUCGGGUUGUAAAGCACUUUUGGCAGGAAAGAAACGUCAUGGGUUAAUACCCCGUGAAACUGACGGUACCUGCAGAAUAAGCACCGGCUAACUACGUGCCAGCAGCCGCGGUAAUACGUAUGGUGCAAGCGUUAAUCGGAAUUACUGGGCGUAAAGCGUGCGCAGGCGGUUCGGAAAGAAAGAUGUGAAAUCCCAGAGCUCAACUUUGGAACUGCAUUUUUAACUACCGAGCUAGAGUGUGUCAGAGGGAGGUGGAAUUCCGCAUGUAGCAGUGAAAUGCGUAGAUAUGCGGAGGAACACCGAUGGCGAAGGCAGCCUCCUGGGAUAACACUGACGCUCAUGCACGAGAGCGUGGGGAGCAAACAGG